rnacentral:ncRNA from 1 species
UUAAGAAAUAAAAAAUUUACUCGUAUAUACCCUGAAUAAGGCAGGGAGUAUCUACCGGGAGCCGUAAAGUCCUGACUAUGAGUGAUGUGAUAUACUAU